UAGGGUGUAGCGCAGUGGCUACCGCGCUUCGUUCGGGACAUAGAGGCCGGUGGUUCGAGUCCACUCACCCCGAUCA
rnacentral:tRNA from 2 species